AACGAACGCUGGCGGCAUGCCUAACACAUGCAAGUCGAACGAUGGCUUCGGCCAUAGUGGCGCACGGGUGCGUAACGCGUGGGAACCUGCCCUUAGGUUCGGAAUAACUCAGAGAAAUUUGAGCUAAUACCGGAUAAUGUCUUCGGACCAAAGAUUUAUCGCCUUUGGAUGGGCCCGCGUAGGAUUAGGUAGUUGGUGGGGUAAUGGCCUACCAAGCCGACGAUCCUUAGCUGGUCUGAGAGGAUGAUCAGCAACACUGGGACUGAGACACGGCCCAGACUCCUACGGGAGGCAGCAGUGGGGAAUAUUGGACAAUGGGGGAAACCCUGAUCCAGCAAUGCCGCGUGAGUGAUGAAGGCCUUAGGGUUGUAAAGCUCUUUUACCCGGGAUGAUAAUGACAGUACCGGGAGAAUAAGCUCCGGCUAACUCCGUGCCAGCAGCCGCAGUAAUAC
rnacentral:rRNA from 1 species